AUAAAGAUUAAUUUUUGGACUGUGAAACUAAAUUGGACUGCUACUUUUAAACCGUACAUCAAAAUAGUGCAAAUAGAUAGUCUAUAGAAAGCAUGGGACGUAUCUCUCCUUUUUUUUGCGAUUGAUCUCCACAUUAUGUUUGGAGUCCAAGUCAAAAUUAUGCAGUUUUUGAUAGAGGAUUUGGAAAGACCGAAUCUGUUUAGUAGGUGGAUUACCCAAAACAGUUGACUUCAUCCAACCCAACCUCACAUCACUGUGUAAAGUUUGUAGCACUUAUUUUAUAUGCAGAGCACUUGUGAACUAGGAUUUUGACCAAAAGAUUUCGAGUGUUUUAUGUGAGCUUGCAUUGCAGGGAUACUUGAAGCUAGGGCAAUCCAAGUAAGAUAGCUUCAUCCUCAGGCAACAGGUUUAUGUUAUCUUAUCAUGGAGUCAUUUUUAAGUUUGUGCCCAACGCCUUCAUCCUUAGAAUGGCUGCCCAGAUGGCAAGCCACCGUACUCAGGCGACUGCCGCGCUAGCAGGGUGCUCCAACUUUUGAUGCUGGCGAAGCUUUUGGAAUGAUGGCUACAUAAUUUGUUAGUCUCCGUUGGAAGCUUAAUUAAACUGAGCUUCUCUGAAGGUUCAGAUGUGUGGCAAAGGAUUUCAAUUUUCCUGUUUACACAAAGGAAACUUGAGGAAGGUUCAGAUUUUUCAUGCUCGGUGCUGUGCUCUCAAGGUUACAUAGACAAAAAUGCCUCCUAUUUACACAACGGCAACCCGACGAAGGUUCAGAUUUCUCAUGACUGGUUCAAUGGGUAUUUCAUGCCUGUGCCAUCUUAAUUAUUAGGAAAAUGUAGUUUGUUUUAUAGCUGAUGAUGCUCGAUGCUUUUUACCUCAGUUUAGUAAAUGCUCAGUUUUAGCUCAUAAACUACAUGGCAAAUAGGAUGACGGGGCGGGGCGGGAGGCGGGGAAAGCCGUCCAUGGCGAUCCUGGUGGCGUUUCUAAUGGCGCCAUUGGCACUGCCGCUCCUCAUGGUGCCCGACACGCUCUCUAUGCC